rnacentral:rRNA from 1 species
AUUGAACGCUGGCGGCAGGCCUAACACAUGCAAGUCGAGCGGAUGAAGGGAGCUUGCUCCUGGAUUCAGCGGCGGACGGGUGAGUAAUGCCUAGGAAUCUGCCUGGUAGUGGGGUAUAACGUCCGGAAACGGGCGCUAAUACCGCAUACGUCCUGAGGGAGAAAGUGGGGGAUCUUCGGACCUCACGCUAUCAGAUGAGCCUAGGUCGGAUUAGCUAGUUGGUGGGGUAAAGGCCUACCAAGGCGACGAUCCGUAACUGGUCUGAGAGGAUGAUCAGUCACACGGGAACUGAGACACGGUCCAGACUCCUACGGGAGGCAGCAGUGGGGAAUAUUGGACAAUGGGCGGAAGCAUGAUCCAGCCAUGCCGCGUGUGUGAAGAAGGUCUUCGGAUUGUAAAGCACUUUAAGUUGGGAGGAAGGGCAGUAAGUUAAUACCUUGCUGUUUUGACGUUACCAACAGAAUAAGCACCGGCUAACUUCGUG